rnacentral:rRNA from 1 species
GUYUUUUUGUUAAAAAUUUAAAGUCGGGCCUGCCCCCUGAAAUUUUAAAUGGCCGUGGUAUUUUGACCGUGCUAAGGUAGCAUAAUCAUUAGUUUUUUAAUUGAAAGCUGGAAUGAAGGGUUUGAUAAAAAAAUAACUGUCUCUAUUUAAUUUUAUUAAAAUUUUAUUUUUAAGUUCAAAAGCUUAAAUUAGAUUAAAAGACGAGAAGACCCUAUAGAGUUUAAUAAUAUAAAAUAAUUUUUAUUUUUGAAUUAAAUUAUUUAUUUUUUUAUAUUAUUUAGUUGGGGUGAUUAAAAAAUUUAAUUAACUUUUUUUAUAUUUUACCMUUAAUUUAUGAUUAUUUGAUCCAAUUUUUUUGAUUAUAAGAUAAAAUUACCUUAGGGAUAACAGCGUAAUUUUUUUAGAAAGUUCAAAUUUAAAAGNNNRRUUGCGACCUCGAUGUUGGAUUAAAAUUAAAUUUUGGUGUAGAAGCUAAAAAAUUAAGUCUGUUCGACUU